AUGCAUGUACCAUAUCGUACGCACCUAAGCAUUUGCCUAAGAACCUACACUAAUAAGCGCAAAAGUGCUCAUUCCAGAAACAUGGCAGCGAUGCGCGCGAGCAGCCAGCGGCUAUGCCAGAUGGUCCACAAUGCCGGCAUGUGGCAUGGCACCGUGGAUCGUCUCCACACGGUGUUGGCAACCGGCCGGUGGAUGGCCUCCGCCGACGCCAGCUACGACUCUCAGUAUGACCAGAUGAUCGUUCGCACCACCAACAGGUUCACCGUUGUCAAGAAGCUUGCGAACAACAUCGCCGUACUCCUCCAGCCCACACGCCCGGGCUCCUCAUUGCCUGCCACGCUAAUCGGCUUUCAUGGUCGUAACCUCUUUCAAGCACUAGUGGCGCUGCGACUGCCCGCCGACGCCACGAAGAAUGUCCACCUGGAGGUCGCGCUCGCCACGAGGCGCCUUGCUCUGCUAGAAACCUAG
rnacentral:rRNA from 1 species